UGUACAUCAAGCAAGAAUGGGAAAGAAUUCUUUGGUCGUAUUUUUUAUAUUGUUGCAUUAUAAUUGUCCAGAUCUUCUUUUGCAAGGAAUUCAAUCUGGUGUAGUAUGUUGGGUUUGAGCUUUCUCUCUGAUGCAAUAGGACAAAGCAAGUCCAAUAACAGAGCUUGUUUAGGUGACCAAAACUGGAGCAUAUCCUUUGUCAGUUUUACUCAUGGGAAUGAUUCAAACCAAGGCCACAUGUGCAAUAAGUUUGGUGUCUUGUAUACCAAAGCAAUUUGAUCCAAGACAUCAGGCUGAAGUUGAAGCAGUUCAAUCUGGAGAUGGGCCAAAAGCUCCAAGAUGAUGAUGAUUU